rnacentral:rRNA from 1 species
CCUACGGGUGGCAGCAGUGAGGAAUAUUGGUCAAUGGGCGCGAGCCUGAACCAGCCAAGUCGCGUGAAGGAUGACUGCCCUACGGGUUGUAAACUUCUUUUGUAAAGGAAUAAAGUGAGGCACGUGUGCCUUUUUGUAUAGUCUUUGUGAAUAAAGAUCGGGUAACUCCGUGCCAGGAGGCGCGGGAAUAAGGAGGAUCCGAGCGUUAUCCGGAUUUAGUUGGUUUAAAGGGAGCGUAGAGGGGUUUAUAAGUCCGUUGUGAAAGUUUGGGGCUCAACCGUAAAAUUGCAAUUGAUACUGGCAGCCUUGAGUACAGUUGAGGUAGGCGGAAUUCGUGGUGUAGCGGUGAAAUGCUUAGAUAUCACGAAGAACUCCGAUUGCGAAGGCAGCCUACUAACCUGCCACUGACAUUGAUGCUCGAAAGUGUGGGUAUCAAACAGGAUUAGAUACCCUUGUAGUC